UACGUAGGGGGCAAGCGUUGUCCGGAUUUAUUGGGCGUAAAGAGCGUGUAGGCGGUUUGGUAGGUCCGUUGUGAAACUCGAGGCUCAACCUCGAGACGCCGGCGGAAACCAUCAGGCUAGAGUCCGGAAGAGGAGAGUGGAAUUCCUGGUGUAGCGGUGAAAUGCGCAGAUAUCAGGAAGAACACCCGUGGCUAAGGCGGCUCUCUAGUACGGUACUGACGCUGAGACGCGAAAGCGUGGGGAGCGAACAGG
rnacentral:rRNA from 1 species